AAUCUUAUAUUCAAUAUAUAUGAUUUUAAAUUGCAAAUUUAAAGGUAUUAAUUUUUUAAUUAAGAUUU
rnacentral:tRNA from 1 species